CCAAUAGCGUAUAUUAAAGUUGUUGCAGUUAAAAAGCUCGUAGUUGAACUUCGGGAUUUGCCCAUUGGUCAGGCUUAACUGUCUGCACUGGUGUGACGAGUUCCUACCUUCUGAGGAAUCUCCAUGUCAUUCAGUUGGUGUGGGGGGAAAUCAGGACUGUUACUUUGAAAAAAUUAGAGUGUUUAAAGCAGGCGUCCGUCUGAAUACAUUAGCAUGGAAUAAUAAAAUAGGACGGUUUGGUUCUAUUUUGUUGGUUUCUAGGAUCACCGUAAUGAUUAAUAGGGAUAGUUGGGGGCAUUAGUAUUCAAUUGUCAGAGGUGAAAUUCUUGGAUUUAUUGAAGACUAACUACUGCGAAAGUAUUUGCCAAGGAUGUUUUCAUUAAUCAAGAACGAAAGUUAGGGGAUCGAAGACGAUCAGAUACCGUCGUAGUCUUAACCAUAAACUAUGCCGACUAGGGAUCGGACGAAGUUAAUUUUUUAAUGACUCGUUCGGCACCUUACG
rnacentral:rRNA from 1 species